GACGAACGCUGGCGGCGUGCUUAACACAUGCAAGUCGAACGGUAAGGCCCCUUCGGGGUACACGAGUGGCGAACGGGUGAGUAACACGUGGGUAAUCUGCCCUGCACUUCGGGAUAAGCCUGGGAAACUGGGUCUAAUACCGGAUAUGAGCUCCUGCCGCAUGGUGGGGGUUGGAAAGUUUUUCGGUGCAGGAUGAGUCCGCGGCCUAUCAGCUUGUUGGUGGGGUAAUGGCCUACCAAGGCGACGACGGGUAGCCGGCCUGAGAGGGUGAUCGGCCACACUGGGACUGAGACACGGCCCAGACUCCUACGGGAGGCAGCAGUGGGGAAUAUUGCACAAUGGGCGAAAGCCUGAUGCAGCGACGCCGCGUGGGGGAUGACGGUCUUCGGAUUGUAAACCCCUUUCAGUAGGGACGAAGCGCAAGUGACGGUACCUGCAGAAGAAGCACCGGCCAACUACGUG
rnacentral:rRNA from 1 species